UACGUAGGGUGCAAGCGUUGUCCGGAAUUAUUGGGCGUAAAGAGCUCGUAGGCGGUCUGUCGCGUCGGAUGUGAAAAUCCAGGGCUCAACCCUGGACCUGCAUUCGAUACGGGCAGACUAGAGUGUGGUAGGGGAGACUGGAAUUCCUGGUGUAGCGGUGAAAUGCGCAGAUAUCAGGAGGAACACCGGUGGCGAAGGCAGGUCUCUGGGCCAUAACUGACGCUGAGAAGCGAAAGCAUGGGGGAGCGAACAGG
rnacentral:rRNA from 1 species